AGGAGGCUGGGAGGAAGAGGCCUGCUGAAGGAGGCUUUGGCUUUUCAGCCAGAGUUUGACAAUUAGGCUUCAUCAUGUCACGAUGCGGUGCUACUGCUGACCCCAAAACAGGAUGCCGGAAGUGGCGCUCACUAGAGACUAUGUGUCAGAAGAACUGUGACGCUGAAUCCGGUGCUCCAACCUCUCCUAGCCUCCUGGAGGAGGAUGACCCAGGGCCCCUGUCCUCCCAACAGCAGGCCACCAGUUCAAGGGACAAGAAGCCCCUAAGCUCCCUCCACCUUUCACAUAGAGCCCAGGUGGCCUUGGAGUACCUGCCUUUCUUCUGCACCUAUGGGUGCCUCCUGGAAGAGGAGGGGUUGGUCCUGCAGCCCGAGACAUGGCUCCAGGAGGACUCAGAACUGCUCAGUGGGUUCUUCCCUUACUACCGCUCUGAGGAGGAGAGUUUGCCCAGCCUGGCCCUUCCUGGCUGGUCACACAGGGGCUCCCAAGAUCUGCCCACUGAGAAGGAGGCACAGGCUGGCAGCUUCUGCAGGACAACGGUCAGGGACGAAUGCUCUGCUGUCUCGGCACACUCCGACCUCAUCUCUGGGUCCCCACACUCACUGGCCUGCUGCCCCGUCCUGCAGGUCUCUGCAGGGUUCCCCCAUGACAGUGACCGGGAUGCCCCUCUCUCCAGGGACCAUGGUCUUUAUGCCCCAGGAUUUGUGCAUACUACAGAACCCCUGAGGAGGGGCUACACACUAGCCCUGGGCCUCCUGCCUCUCCAUCUGGGAUCCAGGGGCCCUCAGGGUCUGCCCAGGGCUGGUGCAGUCACACCACGGGGAAGCCAGAGCUGACUGCAGCGGAAGCCACUGGAGAGCAGGCCCCCAGCACCCACCGACCAUCGAGGGAUGAAGGUGAUUCGGGGGAGGCUCACAGAGCCUGACCCAAGCUCAGACAGAGGAAGCAGGAGCCACCUGAACAACUGAAGGGUGCAGACACCCAGAAGCUGGUUUUGUAAAUAAAUCAUGCACCUUGGAGCUGGUGCACUAAUUGGA